rnacentral:rRNA from 1 species
UCGAGAAUUUUUCUCAAUGGGGGAAACCCUGAAGGAGCGACGCCGCGUGGAGGAUGAAGGUCUUCGGAUUGUAAACUCCUGUCAUUUGGGAACAAUUGUUGGCGAUUAACUGUCGUCAGCUUGAUAGUACCAGAAGAGGAAGAGACGGCUAACUCUGUGCCAGCAGCCGCGGUAAUACAGAGGUCUCAAGCGUUGUUCGGAUUCAUUGGGCGUAAAGGGUGCGUAGGUGGCGGGGUAAGUCAGGUGUGAAAUCUCGGGGCUCAACCCCGAAACUGCACUUGAUACUGCCUUGCUCGAGUACUGGAGAGGAGAUUGGAAUUUACGGUGUAGCAGUGAAAUGCGUAGAUAUCGUAAGGAAGACCAGUGGCGAAGGCGAAUCUCUGGACAGUUACUGACACUGAGGCACGAAGGCCAGGGGAGCAAACGG